rnacentral:rRNA from 1 species
UGCGUAGGCGGCAUGUCAAGCCAGAGGUGAAAGGCAUUGGCUCAACCAAUGUAAGCCUUUGGAACUGACGCGCUUGAGUACAGGAGAGGUAAGUGGAAUUCCUAGUGUAGAGGUGAAAUUCGUAGAUAUUAGGAGGAACACCAGUGGCGAAGGCGACUUACUGGACUGUAACUGACGCUGAGGCACGAAAGCGUGGUAGCGAACA